AGAAGCAUUGCAGGUAUGGCUGCUGUGUCAUCUGUGUAUCAGAGAGGAGAGGCUAUGUCUAUGCUGAGUGUUCUGACCUAUGAACAUCUGAGUGAUUAGUAGCCUAACACU
rnacentral:snoRNA from 1 species